UACGUAGGGUCCGAGCGUUGUCCGGAUUUAUUGGGCGUAAAGAGCUCGUAGGCGGCUCAGUAAGUCAGAUGUGAAAACUCAGGGCUCAACCCGGAGACGCCAUCUGAUACUGCUGUGGCUUGAGUCUGGUAGGGGAUCACGGAAUUCCUGGUGUAGCGGUGAAAUGCGCAGAUAUCAGGAGGAACGCCAGUGGCGAAGGCGGUGCUCUGGGCCGGAACUGACGCUGAGGAGCGAAAGCGUGGGGAGCAAACAGG
rnacentral:rRNA from 1 species